GGAGUUGUGGCUCAGUAGUAGAGCACUCACCUAGCAUCUAGUAUGUGUGAGGCCCUGGGUUCGAUCCUCAGCACCA
rnacentral:tRNA from 1 species